AAGUACCUACCACGCCACCCGCUACCUGUAAUAAUCCAUCUGAAGAGGUCGCCGGGCAGCGCCUCGGCAGACAGACUGACCUGCGGGGAGGUGCGGUUUCCAGUGGCGCGGGACAGCCGGCUCCGAGAAGGAACUGGGACCUUUGCCUAGGGCAAGACGUCAACAGGAACCCGCAGGCCCGGCCUGGACACCUGCUGCCCUCACUGGAAGCUUUAACUCCCACUCGAGUCUCUUGGCGUCGUCAGUGCCAGGAGCGCUUGGAUUGGGAUGGGGACGGAGAAGGGUGCCUCGCUCGCCGAGCCCCGCUGCCCUUGGGGACCUGGCAAAGUCGAGGUUUCCUCACAGCGUUGAGAUUGAGACUGGGGGUCGGCAGCACUGAGAAGUGAAGGAAUAUUUGGGAGGAUCAGAAGCUUGGUCCUGAUUUUGCCAUCAACAGGAACUUGAUGACUUCAAGGGAGUCCCCAAACCCUGGGUUUCUGUUUUCUCAACUCUAACAUGAGGGGCUAGAUGCAUCUGGUUUAGUUAGUCUCCAUGAUGGUUUAGUUCGUCUCCAUGAUCCUGUGAAUUUCAGAUGUUGAAAAUCUUCGGAAAAGCCCUGAAAGAUGAACAGUGGUCUCAAAUAGUCAAGACCCCCUGCUGGGAGGAGCUUCUAUCCUGCUCUGUGGAAGAAAUGGGCAUGCCAGAUGCCUGGAAGAUCAGAGGCUCACAUUCCAGCACCAUUCACAAUAGCAAGGACAUGGAAUCAACCUAAGAGCCCAUCAACAGUGGAUUGGAGAGAGAAAAUGAGGUACAAAUACACCAUGGAAUACUAUGCAGCCAUAAAAAAGAAUGAAAUCAUGUCCUUUCGCAACAUGGAUGGAGGUG
rnacentral:lncRNA from 1 species